GGCAUAUCCCAAUUGCCCAAGCUCCAUUGUUUGUCUGCUGUGCAAAGGCAGAUUAAGAUUUUAAGACUUCAUCAACAUCAGAGAGAUCCCAAGUAGUGCCUCAUACAUCAAAGUGUGAAACCUUUCCACCACUGGCAUUUUGUUCAUCUACCCUGAAUAACCAUAUUUGAAAGCACAACAGAACCUUGGCUUUUAGAGGGGAAUGAACGCUAACCAUCAUCACU
rnacentral:misc_RNA from 1 species